rnacentral:rRNA from 1 species
GACGAACGCUGGCGGCGUGCCUAACACAUGCAAGUCGAGCGGGGAUUUAAGUGGAAGUUCUUCGGAAUGGAGAUUUAAAUUCUAGCGGCGGACGGGUGAGUAACGCGUGAACACUCUGUCCCGGACAGGGGGAUAACACUUGGACACAGGUGCUAAUACCGCAUCAGACCACGGCCUCGCAUGGGGCUGAGGUACAAGGAGCAAUCCGGUUCGGGGUGAGUUCGCGUCCGAUUAGCUAGUUGGUGAGGUAACGGCCCACCAAGGCGACGAUCGGUAGCCGGCCUGAGAGGGGGAACGGCCACAUUGGAACUGAGAGACGGGCCAAACGCCUAAGGGAGGCAGCAGUGGGGAAUAGUGGGAAAUGGGCGAAAGCCUGACCAAGCAACGCCGCGUGAGGGAAGAAGGUUUUCGGAGUGUAAAACUCUGUCCUAUGGGACGAAGGAAGUGACGGUACCAUAGGAGGAAGCCCCGGCUAACUACGUG